GGCCUCGUAGCUUAGCUGGUAGAGCACGCGCGUACACAGCGUAAGCGGCAUCCAUGCGUGGGUUUGAAUCCCACCGAGGCUA
rfam:Echinostoma caproni strain Egypt genome assembly, scaffold: ECPE_scaffold0000004